rnacentral:rRNA from 1 species
ACAUGCAUACAACAUAGUUUUAAUACACCAAAUCCAAUUAGAACUCCACAGUUAAGUGUGCUUAGGCUAGAUUAGUACUGGGAUGGGUGACCGCCCGGGAAGUCCUAGUGUUUUACAUGCC